rnacentral:misc_RNA from 1 species
GUAGGUGAACCUGCGGAAGGAUCAUUGUCGAAACCUGCCCAGCAGAGCGACCCGUGAACAUGUUCAACCUCAUGGGUGCUGGGGCGUUGCUCGGUGCCUCGUGUGCCGGCUCGCCCCUCUCCCAGGCAGGGGAGCGUCCACUUGUGGGCUGUUCCCCGGCUAACCAACGAACCCCGGCGCGUAAAUGCGUCAAGGAAUAUAAACUUUAUGUGUGUGCUCUCCUAUCGUCCGGUUAGCCGGGCGUUGGAGU